rnacentral:lncRNA from 1 species
GAAGGUAUCCCAUGUAUAAGAGUUAAGAGGCACCUGACCAGUAGGGGGCGGUGGCCACACUGCUGCUUCAAACGUAGACUACAAGGAGAAGAAGGGGAAGAAGGAAAGAAGCGUGGGAGGAGAGGGUCUGGCUGCAGUCUCUGGGAUGGCAAAACCGUCAAAAACGACAUGGAUAACUUGUCUGCUGAUGGUCUGCAAUGCAUCAUGGCUGAAUGCAGAGUGUAACGGAACCCUGCACAGUGAUGGCACCACCAAGUUUAACUUUUCGUCCAGACUGACAGACAUAAUGCGUGACCAAUCUUGCGAUAGCAGGGUGGACAUCAAUGGUAAUGUGACAAUAAUUUUAACGGAGAAACCAGAGUUUAGACCACCAGUCCUGAGUGCUACAAUGGACGCUUUUGUUCUGCCUAUGUGCCUUGGUUCCGUCGCUUUGACCGUCAGCUGCCCAGCGAAUGGGGUCCUGGAGAAAAUAUACUGCCGUUGUAACAAUGCUACAUAUCUGAACCCAGAGAACAGCACCCAUGGUGCCAGACUUAGGUGGUUGGUCUUUAUUCCGGUCAUUGUCUUUCUCUGUGUUGGAGGUUUCCUAUGUUGGAAUCCUUGGAAGCUGAACAGGUCCAGAGAGAAGGAUGCUAUGCAGAUUCAGAAUCUCUGAAUGUAUCAAUUUAUAUAUAUAUAUAUAUAUAUACACACACACACACACACACACACACACAUUAUAAUCUAACUACACCAGUGGUGCAUGGAGCAAUUCUGGUGGAGUUUUAUUUUGUAAUAUAGUAUAAACAUACCGGCUUCCUAUGGAUACUAAAAACCUAGAAGAGUCAUGGAAUUUUUAAAGGGAAUUUUCCAGGCCUCAAAGUUUUGUAAUACGAAACAUACAUAUAAAGUUAUGGAAAGUCACUGAAAUGAAUGUGUAACAUAGUACACAGUUCCUGUAAGACUGCGCGAGAAACGUUUUUCUUUGUUUACAGCUGCAACAUUUAAAACUAGCGCAGGUACUUUCACAUUUGUACUGAGAUUUCAGAGAACACAGGCUCAUGACAUUUUGCCUUAGAGUAAUUGGAAGAUCAUGGAAAUUCUUUUCUAAAAAUAUGUAAGAACCCUGUCAGUAUCAAAUUUAAGUUCAUUUGUGUAUGUUUGAGAACAGCUUUAUUUUAAUAGAAUUAUAUUAUAUUAAACAUUGUUAUAUAUUUUAUUGUUAUAUUACAGUGGUGAACACUAUAAUAUAACACUAUUUCAUAUAAUAUAAUACGAUAUUAUGUAUUAUAUUACUACAUUAUGUAAAUGCUUAUUUAUUGUUAAUUGCAUUGCAAUUCAGUGCAGAACAUAAUUGAUUGUCACAAUGAUGUGGUGAUUUUCUGGCACUAGGAAUAAAAAUUAUAGUUAAAAAGUAGUGCUGACUGCU